GGUGCUUGUUUGGGUGUCAUCAACGAGUUUUUUUUUUUGCUUGUUUGGGUGUCAUUAUCUUUCAGUUCGAAGGAACCGGCAGUUCUUCUGCAGCGGCAGCUUGCGCAGUCGAAACGUAGGUGGUCUCUUAUAUAUACAUUACGUUGGGCGCUGGUUAGCCUGUUCGCGACUUUCCUUCUUUAUGUGCGUGUGUCUUUGUGGUGAGGCGCAAGAUAUAGCCGGCCGCGCCGCUACAGCAGCCCCUUCCCCCUCCGCUUCCACGGCCACCGCCCCGCCGCCUUGCACGACCACUGCUCGCGCGACGGCAUGCACUUGUUGCACGGCGUGGACCCGUUGUAGUAGCCGACGCACGAGUCGCGGCUGCAGAAGCGCGCGAUGACGGCGGAGGCGCCGGUGUUGCACGAGAUGCAGACGCCGUGGCUGCUCAUGCCGUGGCGGUGGCUCUUGUUCCGGUAGCUCCUCCCGACGAGGGGAGACCUCUAGACGCUGUUCAUGGUACGUUAGGUGUUCCUUCACAUGCUCACCAAGUUGUAGUCGAAGCUGGUGAAGCCGGCCUGUAGGUGGGGCGUCGUCUGUCUCUAGACGGUUAGCUAAAAGGUGUUCGACGACCUGUUGUUGACCGAGAGUCUCUUGUGUUACGUCGUCGAGAUGACGCUUAGUACGGUUUCUAAGAACCGCCUGUCUAAGCAGCACCCGAGUACGGGGUACCUCCCUACGCCGUUGCUGUGGCGCUCCCCGCUAGUCACGCUGUCUACGCCCUCCGACGACUUAAGCUGGCUCGACUAACUAGGGUCUACGUUCCAAACACUCCCGUAUGGCCAGCAGGCGGUAUGCCUGGUGAACAAGAACCUCGAAGGGAACAACCUCCUCUUUGACCUCUUCAUGUAGCUGCUCCGGAGCCGCUGGCCUAGUACCUCGGUCUUGCGUCAAGCGUAGUGCCUACGGACCAACUUCCUUCCCGACUCCGGAGCGACGUAGUGGUCCCUAAACUUUACCCCGCAGGGACAGGGUGUACUCUUCAUGUUCCUAUUCCACAAGAUACAGACCAAGCUACGCGGCUAGCCUAUAUAAAGGUAGUGCCGGACGAUGUGCGGGCUCACCCUUUUCACCACCUUCUUGGGUCUCUUACAGCUUAACAUAGUCAAAUACCCGUUUCUGUUGCAGGGUAAGGUGUGCCAGUACAAAGGGAGACGAGAUGAACCAUGACCACUUUUGACCUGAGACUACUUCUUAUAAUCACACUGACUUAUAGAGUUGAUACUUAGUCCUUUCAAGAGCUUUUGAUUCCCGUAGCCUCAGAAACCGUUACUGCGGUUUCGGUGUUUAUAAGGACGACUACACACCGCUAUGAUGAACGAAUCAUUAGCAGGACUCCGUAGUCUACGUCAAAAGUGUACCCCUCCAAACGUCUAUUUCGUAUUGUUGCUCGACGAUUUCUUAAACCCGUUGAAGUAGAUAGCUCACGAUUCGAAAUAGCGUUUUGGUCUCCCUCGACCGAUGCCGAGGUAGUAUGGACUUCGUGGAUUACGACUAUAUGUAGGUAACUCAGUCAGCAAUCGUCUUUGACAACCAUUAAACUAAGUCGUCAUAUGACUACGUUACCUGUUCCAGUUUGAUUUUGUUCCCGACUUUUAACGUUACCGGUAGAGAUCACUCCCUUUACGAAUGGAAGUUCUCUCAGUUAAAACCUUCGAAAUGGUUGUUCUAGGUCGAUCAACGCGCUGACACUACUUUUGAAGUCAACCUCAACAGAUGGAAGAGCGAACAAACGAUCUCGGAAAGUACGGCAGGAAGAGUUUUCUACAGAACGUUGUCGACUUAGAGACAGGCUUACUCGUAUAAAGAAAACGGCUACUUUUCCCCCUCUCACUGUUCCGCUUUUCCGGAACCCUAGAGUAUGGUAGUUUGGUGUCCUAACCCUUUUAACACGGAAACAAGUGUCUCAACUUUCUACUACGUCACCUAUCGAAGUCCCUUUGUAAACGUCCGUCAGUCUGGCUUUCUUUGCGUUCCCGAUUAAUUUCUUCGGUUACUUCAACAACGGAUUGACCUUCGACGUUUUGUAAAGAACGUUUCAACUAGUGUUAUGAAUUAGUUUACUGUAACUCUAGGUCUUUACACUCAAGCUUCCUACUUAGUGUUACAUAUAAAAUGACUAAUAAUCACUACUACGUAAGUCUUUUACAUGUAUUUGACUUGAUGUACGACAUCAUGAACCUCAACCUCUACGGAUUUAACCACGUGUACACGACUAGUGGACCCCUCGAUGUAAAAAUCAACACUCAUACUACAUGUAUCAAUUUUUAUUUCCUUUGGAAAUGAAAAGAUAGAUUGGAUUCCUCUCUUUUCUUAGUCGGCAAAUAACACAGUAGUUCGAGUGUCUUGACACCAUUUGCACGAACCCAGCUGACAUAACCAUCACCACAUUGGUAUCCACUACUCGGACCAUAACUAAACGUCUAAUACUACACGGUAUCCAACGAAAACGUACGACGUGUUCACAUAAAUUCGUCCCCGGUAGUUUCCACCUAUUUAACAUACUCUUUAUCCCAAUGGAACUACGAAUUCAUCGAGGUCGAGAAAAUACUUUCCGAUUUUAUAAGUCUUCCCCGUAACGGGUAAACACACUCCUCGAUGAGGUAUCUACGUUUUUAUGGUUAAAACGUACUUUGUUAUAACAUAGUCCUAUAAUAAAAAUCAUUACUAACCUGUAGAGUCUAGGUGGGUGAGCUCAUGUUAUCACAUCACCCCCUCCACCGGCUAACCCGACAGGGUGGAACAGAUUGUAUAUGUCUGGAAACUUAUUAUA
rnacentral:rRNA from 1 species